rnacentral:rRNA from 1 species
GCAGAUAGCUCAGUAACACGUGGCCAAGCUACCCUUCAGACUACGAUACCCUCGGGAAACUGAGACUAAUAGUGGAUACGGUACGCCUGCUGGAAUGCGGCGUACUCUAAACGCUCCGGCGCUGAAGGAUGCGCCUGCGGCCGAUUAGGUAGACGGUGGGGUAACGGCCCACCGUGCCAAUAAUCGGUACGGGUGAUGAGAGUCAGAGCCCGGAGACGGAAUCUGAGACAAGAUUCCGGGCCCUACGGGGCGCAGCAGGCGCGAAACCUUUACACUGCACGGAAGUGCGAUAGGGGAAUCCCAAGUGCGAGGGCAUACUAGCCCUCGCUUUUGUGUACUGUAAGGAGGUACACGAAUAAGAGCUGGGCAAGACCGGUGCCAGCCGCCGCGGUAAUACCGGCAGCUCGAGUGAUGUCCAAUUUUAUUGGGCCUAAAGCGUCCGUAGCUGGCCAGCCAAGUUCGUCGGGAAAUCCACCUGCCCAACAGGUGGGCGUCCGGCGAAAACUGUCUGGCUUGGAACCGGAAGGCUCAGA